AGAGUUUGAUCCUGGCUCAGGAUGAACGCUAGCUACAGGCUUAACACAUGCAAGUCGAGGGGCAGCAUGAACUUAGCUUGCUAAGUUUGAUGGCGACCGGCGCACGGGUGAGUAACACGUAUCCAACCUGCCGAUGACUCGGGGAUAGCCUUUCGAAAGAAAGAUUAAUACCCGAUGGCAUAGUUCUUCCGCAUGGUAGAACUAUUAAAGAAUUUCGGUCAUCGAUGGGGAUGCGUUCCAUUAGGUUGUUGGCGGGGUAACGGCCCACCAAGGCAACGAUCAGUAGGGGUUCUGAGAGGAAGGUCCCCCACAUUGGAACUGAGACACGGUCCAAACUCCUACGGGAGGCAGCA
rnacentral:rRNA from 1 species